rnacentral:sRNA from 1 species
ACAAUAAUAAACGGACUCACCUAAUGGGU